rnacentral:lncRNA from 1 species
GCAGACAAAAUAUUCACCAUGGACAACAGCAUCACUCAAAAAUUUAAAUAGCUAAGGUUACUUACCUUCAUGCCACUGCAACACACAUCUAGAAGAUCUCUCUAAGGUAGUAUUUCAAAUAGUUGAGAUAUUACUAGAGAUAGUCCAAUUCUGUGAAGCCAUAUGAUACUCUUGCGCACUGAAUGUGUCAGCCGAGCCGUUCUCUUUCCUGACACUUUUCUCCUCAUUAGCAGUCAAGUUACCUUUAAAAAUAAAAAAAAAAAUGGCGCCGUCUGGACGCGACGCUGACGUCGAGUGUAGCAAAUCAGGUGAUUAAACGCGGCAUGGCGUUUUGUUCAAAACAUAUCAUCGACGAAAAUGUUUGACUGAAAUAACAGAUAGGAGCAUAGGUUCCUAAAACGCAAGCAGUUAUGCCACAAGACGGCUUAUAUUUUAGCUGUAUAUAAAGUUGUGUUUGUUUUUUUUUUUUUUUUUUUUUUUUGAGUAAUUCACUGAAUUGAACGGAUAAGGAACACCACGAUGACGAAACAUAAGGCACAUUAGGAUGGAUGUGUUUGCGCUAAUGGCCCGCUCUACACUUCGCCCCCACAAUGUGGAGAAAUGCAUAAAAGCUACACCAAUUCAACUUACAUAUUGAUGCCAACUGUGGGCCACAUGCUUUCCUUUUCAUCCACCCCCUUCCAUCAACUCUCUCUUCAAUGAUGAGUGUCAUCCAGUUACACUGGCAAUUAGGAAAGAAAAAAAAAAGGUCACAAGUGUGAUCAAAAGCUCCUGCAAUGGUAUUAAAAGACUCUGGGGAGCCAUCGGAGGAGAGACCGCACUUCCAUUUGACAUUCCUCACAAGGGGAUUACAUCUGAGUGUCACCGCCAGAGGAGAGGAAAACAUAAGAUGAUGGUAUGGACCUCUAUUAGAAUAUACUACUGCACUAAACCCACUCACCAGUUCCAGUUCCUAUGGCUAACUUCCAG